rnacentral:rRNA from 1 species
AUGAUACUGAACCGGCAAUACCACAACCUCAAACAGGGGGAUCUCUCCGUCGCCGAGUACGCCCGUCGUAUGAAGCUUCUCACCGCCGGCCUCGCCGUCACCGAGGUGGGAUCUCACCACUCAGUUUCUUCAUGGCAUCGACAAACGUCUCGACACCAUCCGCGUCGUGCUCGGGGACACAGUUCCUCUGCCGCCGUUCGAGACGGUGUUCUCUCGCCUGAAGCUCACCGAGGAGAACCUUGCCCAGCGCGUGGCUGA